UUUAUUAGGAAGAUAGCUAAACAGUAAGCUUCCUACAUAAGCUUACUAGCUACAUAUUUAGCUUACAAACUAAACAUUUAACUUGCUAACUAAAGGUUCAGUUAGCAAGUUAAAUAUUUAGUUUAAAGUUAAAUACUUAGCUUGGUAACUAAUUGAACCUUUGAUAUUCAUAAAUGGAUGAAUAAUAUGAUGAAAAUCUUAAUUUAAA